ensembl:lncRNA
CCCCCAGGGUGAUUUAAGGAGCCCAUCUCUGUGAUAAUUUCUCUGGCCAUCAUCCACGGCCUGCAGAGGAGGUCACCUCUGAACUUAGCAAUCCUGUGCUCCUCUCACCAGUGUGUUCCUGGUGGCCUUGGGGAACAGCAUGUCUUCAGGUGGACAUUAUGGCCUUAUAUAUUACAUUAAUUACAGUGUGUUUCCUCUCUCUGCCUCUCUACUUCCUCUUCCAUCUUCUGGGACGCUUCAGGCAGUUUCAUUUCCCUGACAGCAGCCCAUCUGUUUUUCCAGGCUUCUAACAGCCAUCCCUAUGACCUGCUUGUUGCUGAGCUGAAGAAGCUGCCUUAACUGUCCUGCAGGAGGAGGGGUGUAUGUCUCCAUCAUUGCUGGGGGGCAGGGACAGGGACAGGUCAAUGAAGGAGCGCUGCUUGGGAACAGACACAGGAUGCCUCUCUCUGCGCCUUCCUCACACUCAGAGUAAAACCCAAGGUUCUGACAUGGCUUACAAGGCUCUCUCUACACGACCUCAUCUUGUUACCUCUCUGACCUCACCCUCCCCUCCCCUGCCCUCCUGCAUUCAGCCCCAGUGGUUGGUGCCAAGAAGAGCAAGAAGGCU